rnacentral:misc_RNA from 1 species
UUUCCUAUAAUAUGGAAAAUCAAAAAGUUUUUCCAUGUUGGAUCUGAAAAACGUCUCAAAAAAACCAUGUCUCAAGUACGCGAUUUUGCCAUGAACAUAGUCAAAGGGAAGAAGGGAGAACUCAAGCAGAACUCUUCCCUCGAAUCCGUCGAUCUCUUGUCGCGAUUCUUGAGCUCUGGCAUUUCCGAUGAGACCUUUGUCACUGAUAUUGUCAUUAGCUUCAUAUUAGCCGGUCGUGACACCACAUCCGCGGCUUUAACAUGGUUUUUCUGGUUACUUUCGAAAAACCCACAGGUAGAAGCUGAAAUUCUUAAAGAAAUACGAGAGAAAUCAGACGUACCCAUUUUCGAAGAAGUAAAGGACAUGGUGUACACCCACGCUUCCUUAUGCGAGACCAUGAGAUUGUACCCUCCAGUUCCUGUGGACUCCAAAAUUGCAGUAAGCGACGACGUUUUGCCUGACGGGACAGCAUUGAAGAAGGGAACUAGAGUCACAUAUCAUCCAUACGCGAUGGGUAG